rnacentral:lncRNA from 1 species
CGCCCGACAAGUAAGUUGUCGCAGGUAGCAAACAGUCUGAUGGAUCCAUGACUCUGGGAACCUUUGUAACCCUAUAUCAUACCAAGUGAGAACCUAUUCUUGGAAAAUAAUCAGAUUCAUCAGUACCUUAGACUUUUGAACCCGUGUAUUGAAAAAAAAAUAUACAUGGCUUACAUUGCAUUCAUUCAUAUUCCAUUGCAUCU